rnacentral:rRNA from 1 species
UACGGAGGGAGCUAGCGUUGUUCGGAAUUACUGGGCGUAAAGCGCACGUAGGCGGCUAUUCAAGUCAGAGGUGAAAGCCCGGGGCUCAACCCCGGAACUGCCUUUGAAACUAGAUAGCUAGAAUCUUGGAGAGGUCAGUGGAAUUCCGAGUGUAGAGGUGAAAUUCGUAGAUAUUCGGAAGAACACCAGUGGCGAAGGCGACUGACUGGACAAGUAUUGACGCUGAGGUGCGAAAGCGUGGGGAGCGAACAGG